GACGGAGGGGACAAGCGUUAUCCAGAAUGACUGGGUGUAAAGGGCAUGUAGAUGGUCUGAUUUGUCGGAUAUAAAAUGCCCCGGCUUAACCGGGGAAGGCUAUCCGAAACGGUCAGGCUAGAGUUUGGGAGAGGAAAGCGGAACUCCCGGUGUAGCGGUGAAAUGCGUAGAUACCGGGAGGAACACCGGUGGCGAAGGCGGCUUUCUAUCUCAAAACUGACAUCGAAAUGCGAAAGCUAGGGGAGCAAACAGGAUUAGAUACCCCGGUA
rnacentral:rRNA from 1 species